AUAUAUUAUAGCUAUAUAUAUAUAUAUAUUUGGUAGUAUUUUAAAGAGUGCAGAUAUAUGAAGUCUGAAAGAGAAACUCCAUUUUGAAAAGUUAUAAUUUUUUACAAUCAGUUUAUUUAAUUUGAUAGAAGUAUCUUUAUUUUGUCUGCCAGGUAGGAAAACACUUUGUUCAAUACAAACUAAAGAUCUAUGAUGCGUAACAGACAUGCACUUACUACUAUUUUGCGUUCAUGAAAAUCAUUUUUGUAUUUCAAUGUCUUUUCUUGCUUCCCCAAAGUGGGUCUGAAUGGAACUGUUUUCCUCUUUUUCUUAGAUGUUUUGUUAUUUAAGAUUAUUAUAUUGGCUCCGAAAUGCAAUCAAGACUGUUAAUUUCUAUCUAUUUGUCCAACCAAAUUGUUUAUUAAUUAUUGUUGAGAUAGCCAGGUAAUCUCUACAGUAUGUAGAGACCUGCUUGUGUAUGUAAUUGUCAGAUAAAAAAAUAAUCAUUCACUUUACCCUAAAUGUAUAUAUAGUUUUAUUUGUCCUUUUAUAAUGUAUUUCCUUAUCCUUUUUUAUUGAAUUAAUCACGUAUUUGAUAAGAAAUAUGGAUUGUUUGCAGGUUAAAACCUAGGAACAGCAGUUUGUCCAAAGGCAGUGGAUAUAUCGAAGUGCUAUAAUUAUACAGAAAUGUUUGAUUUCCCUGCACUCCAAAUGCAAAAUGUAUUUUAAAGAAAGCUCCUAUAGAGAUAUCCUCAUCCAUGUUCAUACAAUAUGAUUUACCUUCAAAUCACUGGGAGGGAUUUUAUAUAUGAAAAAAAUAAAAAGAUUUAGCUUGUUUAUUUUACUUAAUGGAACACACUCAGCUGCAGUUGGCUUGUUUUAAAAUCUUGGCCUUGUGUUGUGUCAUACUGGGUUGCCUUCAGAAGGCACUGUACUUGUCCAAUAAAAAAUAAAAAAAAACGUGUUUUCAUUUUCCAUUGCAAAAUGUGUUGUUACGGUGUGCCCUAAUGAACACGUCCCUAACCUUCCACUCUGUCUGAUCACACCUGUGCUCGUCCAUCAAACUGUUUCUGUUUUACUGUACAACGGAUGAUCUCAACAUGACUUAUUGUUUUAGAUGUUAUUAUGCUGUACUGUAAUGGACAAAUCAAGUAAAACACUACUACAGAAACAGUUUUUUUUUUUUUUCAGCUGUAUUUUUUAAAAGAUGUUUUAAAUGGUGUAUUUUUCAACUCUCUUUUCAAACUACAGCGAUGCAAAACCAAUGGGCCUUUUCCUGGGCUCCACCCUGAACACAAAACAAGUCAGGUUGCUCUUUUUACAUUUUGUUUUCAAGGUUUUCAAAAAUGAAUUACAUUCUCCUUUUUCUGUUUCAAUUGUACUACUGUUCCUCUAUAAUACAUAUUCCAAAUAAAACGCUUAAACUUGA
ensembl:lncRNA